rnacentral:rRNA from 1 species
AGGCUGCAACCCGCCCUGCAUGAAGUCGGAAUCGCUAGUAAUCGCGAGUCAGCAUAUCGCGGUGAAUACGUUCCCGGGUCUUGUACACACCGCCCGUCACACCAUGGGAGUUGGCAACACCCGAAGUCGAUGAGCUAACCUUUUAGGAGGCAGUCGCCUAAGGUGGGGUUGAUAACUGGGGUGAAGUCGUAACAAGGUACC